UCUUGGGUCGGCGCAACUUGCGUAAAUCUCUGCACCUGCGCGCCAGAGUCUUCAACGCUUAUAACGAGGACUUAAGGGGCUGACAUCACGUGUCCUGUCCAGGUGGUGUCAAUAGCAAGCUGCUGUCUCCGGGCUCCAGGCAGCCUCCUGGAGAAUGGCUCCGGCUGUGCGACGCGGGAGCGGAAAGGUCACCCCGAGGGCAGAGGGGUGGGGGAGGGGCCUCCUCCGAGGGCUCAUCCUGAUCCGGGGUCUGACCUCCCCCUCACCAUGCCAGGAAGCAGUAGGGGAGAAGAACGACGCCAGACCGAAGCACGAAGAGGAGAAGAAUACCUAGAAGGGAAACCUGAGAGGUCAGAGAAGGCUCUAUAGAGAACACAUCUGAGUUCCGUCUUGAAAUCCCCAAGGCCAAGAUGAGGAAAGAACGCCGAGGAACGGCUCAGAAUUAAAAAAAAAAAAAAAAAAAAAAAAAAAAAAUCCAGAAAAGUAAAACAAACGAAAACCGUCAUGCUCUGUGUAAAAGGAGCAUAAAUACUUAGGUGUUUUGGAAUGUAAAGAGCAAGGCAUGCGGUUCCUGGAGAUGAGAUUGAAAGAAGCACAGUUCAUGAAGAGAAGAAUGUGACCAUUGUUUGAGAUUUGGGAGAGGAGCAGAUAAGGGAGACAAAUCACAAAACAGAGAAUGGAGGUCCCAAAGGCAGGACGUGUUUGAGGUCUAAACGCCGUCAAGGAGUGCUUUUUCCUAUGUGAAACUGAGAAGAGAUGGAGUUUCUGCCUUGUAAAGAAACAGCCUAUGUCAUACUUGAAAAUACUGUUCCAGCUCAUUUAUGAAGUAACUCAGAAGAGUGUCAGUUUUGAGUCCUAUCCAGAGCAACAGAUGGCUUUCCAACAAGCCAACAAGGAAUCAAGACCAUCUGUGUGACUACUGCAAGGAAUUGAGUCCUACCAACAACCACUAGGGCUUGGAGACAUACCCUUCUCUAUUUGUGCCUUCACAUGAGCUUCCUGCCCUGGCAGAGACCUUGUUGCAGAGGACCCAUGUAAGCAGUGUCCAAAUA